rnacentral:rRNA from 1 species
UACGAAGGGGGCUAGCGUUGCUCGGAAUUACUGGGCGUAAAGGGAGCGUAGGCGGACUGUUAAGUUAGAGGUGAAAGCCCAGGGCUCAACCCUGGAAGUGCAUUCGAUACUGCUUCACUGGAGUCCCGGAGAGGAUGGUGGAACUCUCGGUGUAGAGGUGAAAUUCGUAGAUAUCGAGAAGAACACCGGCGGCGAAGGCGGCCAUCUGGACGGUGACUGACACUGAGACGCGAAAGCGUGGGGAGCAAACAGG